ACUCCUACGGGAGGCAGCAGUGGGGAAUCUUGGACAAUGGGCGCAAGCCUGAUCCAGCCAUGCCGCGUGAGCGAUGAAGGCCUUAGGGUCGUAAAAACUCUUUCGCCAGGGAUGAUAAUGACAGUACCUGGUAAAGAAACCCCGGCUAACUCCGUGCCAGCAGCCGCGGUAAUACGGAGGGGUUAGCGUUGUUCGGAAUUACUGGGGCGUAAAGCGCGCGUAGGCGGACUAGUUAGUCAGAGGUGAAAUCCCGGGGGCUCAACCCCGGAACUGCCUUUGAUACUGCUAGUCUUGAGUUCGAGAGAGGUGAGUGGAAUUCCGAGUGUAGAGGUGAAAUUCGUAGAUAUUCGGAGGAACACCAGUGGCGAAGGCGGCUCACUGGCUCGAUACUGACGCUGAGGUGCGAAAGUGUGGGGAGCAAACAGGAUUAGAUACCCUGGUAGGAUAGCC
rnacentral:rRNA from 1 species